GAUGAACGCUGGCGGCGUGCCUAAUACAUGCAAGUCGAGCGAACAGACGAGGAGCUUGCUCCUCUGACGUUAGCGGCGGACGGGUGAGUAACACGUGGAUAACCUACCUAUAAGACUGGGAUAACUUCGGGAAACCGGAGCUAAUACCGGAUAACAUGUUGAACCGCAUGGUUCAACAGUGAAAGACGGUCUUGCUGUCACUUAUAGAUGGAUCCGCGCCGCAUUAGCUAGUUGGUAAGGUAACGGGUUACCAAGGCAACGAUGCGUAGCCGACGUGAGAGGGGGAUCGGCCGCCCUGGAACGGAGCCAGGGUCCAGACUCCUGCGGGAGGCAGCAGUAGGGAAUCUUCCGCAAUGGGCGAAAGCCUGACGGAGCAAGGCCGCGUGAGUGGAGAAGGUCUUCGGAUCGUAAUACUCUGUUAUUAGGGAAGAACAAAUGUGUAAGUAACUAUGCACGUCUUGACGGUACCUAAUCAGAAAGCCACGGCUAACUACGUG
rnacentral:rRNA from 1 species